GAGUUUGAUCCUGGCUCAGGACGAACGCUGGCGGCACGCCUAACACAUGCAAGUCGAACGGAGAUAUUUUGGUUUACUGAGAUAUCUUAGUGGCGGACGGGUGAGUAACACGUGAGCAACCUGCCUCUGAGAGAGGGAUAGCUUCUGGAAACGGAUGGUAAUACCUCAUAACAUAACGAAGCCGCAUGACUUUGUUAUCAAAGAUUUAUCACUCAGAGAUGGGCUCGCGUCUGAUUAGAUAGUUGGUGAGGUAACGGCCCACCAAGUCGACGAUCAGUAGCCGGACUGAGAGGUUGAACGGCCACAUUGGGACUGAGACACGGCCCAGACUCCUACGGGAGGCAGCAGUGGGGAAUAUUGCACAAUGGGGGAAACCCUGAUGCAGCGAUGCCGCGUGGAGGAAGAAGGUUUUCGGAUUGUAAACUCCUGUCUUAAAGGACGAUAAUGACGGUACUUUAGGAGGAAGCUCCGGCUAACUACGUGCCAGCAGCCGCGGUAAUACGUAGGGAGCGAGCGUUGUCCGGAAUUACUGGGUGUAAAGGGAGCGUAGGCGGGAUGGCAAGUCAGAUGUGAAAACUAUGGGCUCAACCCAUAGACUGCAUUUGAAACUGUUGUUCUUGAGUGAAGUAGAGGUAAGCGGAAUUCCUGGUGUAGCGGUGAAAUGCGUAGAUAUCAGGAGGAACAUCGGUGGCGAGGCGGGCUUACUGGGCUUUUACUGAYGCUGAGGCUCGAAAGCGUGGGGAAGCGAACAGGAUUAGAUACCCUGGUAGUCCACGCUGUAAACGAUGAAUUACUAAGUGGGGGGGACUGAMCCCCUYCCKKGCG
rnacentral:rRNA from 1 species